rnacentral:rRNA from 1 species
UGCAACUCGACUCCAUGAAGCUGGAUUCGCUAGUAAUCGCGCAUCAGCCAUGGCGCGGUGAAUACGUUCCCGGGCCUUGUACACACCGCCCGUCAAGCCAUGGGAGUCGGGAGUGCCUGAAGUUCGUGACCGUCACAGGAGGCGACCUAAGGCAAGACCGAUGACUGGGGCUAAGUCGUAACAAGGUAUC